UGUGAAAUAAGCAACCGUAUUGAAACACCUAGCUGUGAACUGAUCUCUGUUCAGAAUGAUUUCUGGAUUAAAUAAUAAUAUAUCAGUGCUUCAGUUUAUAACAUCCACGGUUAGAGAAAUGGGAUCAGGUAUUAAUGAUUAAAUUCUAAAAAACCAUAGGAGAAUAUCAGAUGGCUCUUAAAUAGUUAUUAGUGGGUGUAUGMCGAUGGUAUAAACGAGAUCAGUGGCAUGUUUGAGGGACGACACGGAGGGAGAUAUGGCAGGAAAGUAUAAAGACCACGUUAUAGUAAAAAUAUUCAUUACUUUUUAGAAGACUGCACCGGUAGUUUAUUUACUGUACACUAUACGUUAUUAACGGUGACGUGUUUUCGUUCCACUUGAAUUCAAAAUUACCAUAAGUAAAUUGAAAAAUGGCAAAAUCCGCUUAGUUUCUAUUCUAAUCAUGUGUCAGAUAUUUGAACGCCUAUCAGACUGAAGAAAAAUCGUUUAUAUUCGCAACACAUACCGAUCCGUACGAUUUAACGACACGGAAAUAACGAUAAAAUGCUUACUUGUAUACAACCCGAUGUCAUAUCGUCAUAAUAAAUUAACACGAUCAAUAUAAUUGAAAAC